AUAUCAAUAAGCGGAGGAAAAGAAACCAACAGGGAUUGCCUUAGUAACGGCGAGUGAAGCGGCAACAGCUCAAAUUUGAAAUCUGUCUCUUUUAGAGUCCGAGUUGUAAUUUGUAGAGGAUGUUUCGGGCGUGGUCCGGUCUAAGUUCCUUGGAACAGGACGUCAUAGAGGGUGAGAAUCCCGUAUGCGACUGGGUGCCUAAGCUCAUGUGAAACUCCUUCGACGAGUCGAGUUGUUUGGGAAUGCAGCUCAAAAUGGGUGGUAAAUUUCAUCUAAAGCUAAAUAUUGGCCAGAGACCGAUAGCGCACAAGUAGAGUGAUCGAAAGAUGAAAAGCACUUUGGAAAGAGAGUUAAACAGUAC
rnacentral:rRNA from 1 species